GCCGGGCGUGGUGCCCCACACCUGUAAUCCCAGUGGCUCCGGAGGCUGAGGCAGGAGGAUCGGGAGUUCAAAGCCAGCCUCAGCAAGGGCAAGGUGCUGAGCAACUCAGUGAGACCCUGUCUCUA
rnacentral:sRNA from 1 species